rnacentral:rRNA from 1 species
UACAGAGGUCCCGAGCGUUUGUUCGGAUUCACUGGGCGUAAAGGGUGCGUAGGUGGUUGGGUAAGUCUGAUGUGAAAUCUCCGGGCUCAACCCGGAAAUGGCAUUGGAUACUAUUCGGCUAGAGGUUUGGAGGGGGGGACUGGAAUUCUCGGUGUAGCAGUGAAAUGCGUAGAUAUCGAGAGGAACACCAGUGGCGAAGGCGGGUCUCUGGGCCGAAACUGGACGCUGAGGAGCGAAAGCGUGGGGAGCGAACAG